CUCGCGCAGAUGAGACACACUGACGCAGGUGAGACACGCUGACGUAAUAAGACACGCUGACGUAAUAAGACACACUGACGUAGGUGAGACACGCUGACAUAGGUGAGACACACUGACGCAGGUGAGACACGCUGAUGCAGAUGAGACACACUGACGCAGGUGAGACACGCUGACGCAGGUGAGACACGCUGACACAGGUGAGACACACUGACGUAGUGAGACACACUGACGCAGGUGAGGCACACUGACGCAGGUGAGGCACACUGACGUAGGUGAGACACACUGACGCAGGUGAGGCACACUGACGUAGGUGAGGCACACUGACGCAGGUGAGGCACACUGACGCAGGUGAGACACGCUGACGUAGGUGAGACACACUGAUAAAGGUGAGACACACUGACACAGCUGAGACACACUGAUGCAG